rnacentral:rRNA from 1 species
GACGAACGCUGGCGGCGUGCUUAACACAUGCAAGUCGAACGGAAAGGCCUCUUUCGGGGGGUACUCGAGUGGCGAACGGGUGAGUAACACGUGAGUAACCUGCCCUUGACUUUGGGAUAACUUCAGGAAACUGGGGCUAAUACCGGAUAGGAGCUCCUGCUGCAUGGUGGGGGUUGGAAAGUUUCGGCGGUUGGGGGUGGACUCGCGGCUUAUCAGCUUGUUGGUGGGGUAGUGGCUUACCAAGGCUUUGACGGGUAGCCGGCCUGAGAGGGUGACCGGCCACAUUGGGACUGAGAUACGGCCCAGACUCCUACGGGAGGCAGCAGUGGGGAAGAUUGCACAAUGGGUGGAAGCCUGAUGCAGCAACGCCGUGUGCGGGAUGACGGCCUUCGGGUUGUAAACCGCUUUCGCUCAUGACGAAGCUUUGUGUGACGGUAGUGGGUAAAGAAGCACCGGCUAACUACGUG